AUUUGACCUGCUCUAUGAUUUAUUAAAUGGCUGCAGUAUUUUAACUGUACUAAGGUAGCAUAAUAAUUUGUCUUUUAAUUGAAGGCUAGAAUGAAUGGUUUGAUGAAAAAUUAACUUUUUUAUUUUAAUAUUUUGAAUUUAAUUUUUUAGUUAAAAAGCUAAAAUUUUUUUAUAGGACGAGAAGACCCUAUAGAAUUUUAUUUUUUUUAUAUUUUUACUUUUUUUGUUAAUUUUAUUUUAAAAUUAUAUUAAUAAUUUUGUUGGGGUGAUGUAAAAAUUUUUUUAACUUUUUAUUUAUUUUUCAUUAAUUUAUGUUUUUAUGAUCCUAAUUUUUAGAUUAAAAGAUUAAAUUACCUUAGGGAUAACAGCGUUAUUUUUUUUGAUAGUUCUUAUUGAUGAAAAAGUUUGCGA
rnacentral:rRNA from 1 species